UGCGUCUCAAAUCGGGUCGUGUUCAACGUCGAGAUCUCAAACCCUGAAUCGUGCUCUCGUGUUCCGGAGUCACAGCAGAGACGUCUCCCGCUGCGACAGGCCGGCGCGAGGGACACCGAGCGGGGGGCAUCGGGACGGACUGCGGACAGCUCGAUCGGGAGCAGCCCUGGCGGGGGUUGGCGUGGCGACGGCGGAGCCUGCAGCAGCCUCAGCGCCUCCCGCCAGCAGCUUCGGCAGCGGGAUGGACGGGAUGCAGAACCGCAGUGACGCCAGUUCCCUCCAACAUCCGGGUGUUUCUGCUCAUGGUAGCUAGCGCGAGGGAAACGUGGCCCCCGCUGCGUCCUCAGGAGGCACCUGUUCACGCGCAGGCUCAACAGCAGCAGCUGUUGACUCCUGCGGUGACCAGAGGCAACUGGGAUUAUGACCACAGGCAACUGGGAGAUUUUUUGGACACGCUGGGACACUAGGUUCUGCUUUGAGAGGGAAUGUGUGAUUUCCCCCCCUAAAAAUCUGUCAAUGUCGUUGGUGUUCACAAUGUUGUUGGAGAUACACACUGAGUGCCAGAGCGGUAUCUCUCUCUCUCUCUCUCUCUCUCUCUC
ensembl:lncRNA